CCUAAGACUCCUGCAAUACGAGCGAGCAGUAAACUUUGAGCUGUAAACUAAUAUGAAGCCCUAAAUGCAAUAGCAGAGAAAAAGUCUGAUCCUAAAUACAAAACACGGUGGUAAGAUAGCCCAAUGUGCGUUUCGGCGCUAGUAUACGCCUUUGUCAAGAGUUUUACUGAGAAGAGAAUUGGCGCCGCUAUUUAAACCCUAUACGGCCGGCCCACCAGAUACAUGACACCAUCGGUAUUAACAUACAACGUCUUCGGGUGGGCGGGACUGUUAGGGAGUGGGUGGCAUACACUUAGUAUCGGCAUCGGGAGAUGGGUUAACUCCUCAAAUGCCAAAUGAAUAACCAUGUAUUCAAGUGCCCCUAGAUAGGGAACUAUUAGUAGUGUAAAAUGUUUAUGCAGUCACAUAUCUUUCUGAUCAAAGAAGAAUAUGAGUAUCAACUAUAAAAUAAAUUAAAUUAAAGUACCUCUUGAGUUGUUUGAGGGAAUAGAACAAGCAAAGAGUUGCAUUAUAUAGUGAUAUAGAAAGCAGGAUACUAAAUAGAUAGAGAC